UACGAAGGGGGCUAGCGUUGCUCGGAAUUACUGGGCGUAAAGGGCGCGUAGGCGGGCAGUUUAGUGAGAGGUGAAAGCCCAGGGCUCAACCUUGGAAUUGCCUUUGAUACUGACUGUCUUGAGUACGGGAGAGGUGAGUGGAACUCCGAGUGUAGAGGUGAAAUUCGUAGAUAUUCGGAAGAACACCAGUGGCGAAGGCGACUCACUGGCCCGUUACUGACGCUGAGGCGCGAAAGCGUGGGGAGCAAACAGG
rnacentral:rRNA from 1 species